UACGUAGGGUGCGAGCGUUAAUCGGAAUUACUGGGCGUAAAGCGUGCGCAGGCGGUCCGCAAAGUCUGAUGUGAAAGCCCCGGGCUCAACCUGGGAACUGCAUUGGAAACUAACGGGCUCGAGUGUGGCAGAGGGGGGUGGAAUUCCACGUGUAGCAGUGAAAUGCGUAGAGAUGUGGAGGAACACCGAUGGCGAAGGCAGCCCCCUGGGCUAACACUGACGCUCAGGCACGAAAGCGUGGGAGCAAACCGG
rnacentral:rRNA from 1 species